rnacentral:tRNA from 1 species
AGAAGGGAAUUGAUGUAUCAUACUUAGUUUCGACCUAAAAUUAGGCUAUUAGCCCCACUCUU